GGCUGCAUACAAUCUUGUUUUGUAAGAUUCGUGUGGUUUUCUUUUCUUUUGGUGUUUCAUCUGUUGAUCCAUUAGACCUUAUUGUCUCUGCCUCACAAGUUUUCUCCUCCCUUUUCGUAUUUGUUCUAGUCUUGUCUUUUCCUGUUUGGUUCUAAUAUGUGUGUGUUGUGCAUCAAUUAGCUAUUCUGUGUUGGGAUCUGUUAGUGGAUCUG
rnacentral:lncRNA from 1 species